GAAAGAAUUACUGUGAAAUAGGAAAUAAAUAAUUGGGAAACUUUCUAAGGUCUGAGGCAGGUUCCUCACACUUUGCAUUAUCCAUUGGUGGUAGAAUGUGUAAAACAAAUCCCCUCAAAUGUUCCUUUGCAGAUGGUACAACCUUUUUAUGGGGGCAAAGAAUGUUUGUAUGGCCCUGGCAUUCUCUGGCCCUAUUAAUAAGAGGCCAAAGUCCCAGUUCGAAAAGUUUAUAUUAUAAAAAGUGGAGCUAGGGGAUUUAAGCCAUUUCCAGGUAAAUCUGGAAUUUUUUAAUGAUGAAAUGCAGUUGCUAGCAUUUCAAAGCAGCUUUCUGGUAUAAGCCCUUUGCAGUAACGUUAAAGAGAAUAUUCUGAAUGUUACAGAUGCACUUAAAAAAGGGGGGGUUUGGUGUUUCUGAAGGUGCUGGCUACUGUGGUUCAGAACAUUAGAGGGCAGUGGCAAAUCAGUCUGUGUGAGAUGAGCUGGCCUCACUCCCACAGUGAAACCCCAGGCUCCAUCCUGCACCUUGCUGCCUGAGCAUUUAUCCCAGAAAUAAUGUUCUUGUGGGGAGGAAGAAUAAAAAGUGAAGUACUGCUGGCUGUUUAGCAGCUAAUUAACUCUUUCUAUGUGCAGCAGCUGCCUGUGGGUCAGGCCCUGCCCAGCUCGGAGCUGUUUGUCUCUGUCACUCUGCCAGAGGAUCCCUCUGUCCCUGCACAGGUUUGGUUGACCUUCACUGUCAGCAGAUGGGAGUCACUGCUGCAGCCUGAGCACAAGGAAGGUGCCCAUGGGCAGCUGAGCUGGGAUCCCUUCCUGGCAGAAAACUUUGCAGCAUCCCUGAGCUUCCUGAUGUUUGCAACAAACAGCUGUGCCAAAAUUGGGAAGAUCAAGAUGGACACAGAGGCCAGGAUUCCUGGGUGGCUGAGGGAGCUGAACCUUGCUCUUCACUCUGAGGUGUUAAAGCAGGAGCCUGCUCUGGCCUGGGAAAGCUCAGAAUGAACACAGCCCUUGGUGAGUGUCCAGUGCAGGGGGAUGCAAGCAGGGCUGUGACUCAUGCCUUUUCCCAGCAAUUAAUUUAAAAAUAGAAUUGAAGUUGAAAUAUGCUCUGAAGGUCAGAAUAUCAGGGCAGUGUGUGCCUGCUGGUUUUUCCUGGGUAAGGUGUUGAGAGAGGACAAAGUAUUCUUCAUUUUCAAAGUCACUCUGUUGCCCAUAUAGUCUGUGUAGAAAAUGAAUUUUCUUUGUAUUCCCUACUGCAGUAAAAAGAGACAUUACCUCCAUAUAGCUAUUUUCUGCUCUGCUUUUUGUUUGACUCAACAGUUGCUCUGUCACGUUUGAUACUGUGGUUUCACAAAGUUUUGCAGUGACCUUAUUUACCUGUUUUUCUAGAUAAAAAUCUCCACCGCAGUUGCUAACUGAUCCUGAACUUAAACGACUGCCUUAGGGAGAGGCAGUAAUCACUUUACUCCUGCAUGUUUUAACCUCUUACUCAGC
rnacentral:lncRNA from 1 species